rnacentral:rRNA from 1 species
UACGUAGGGGGCGAGCGUUGUCCGGAUUUAUUGGGCGUAAAGCGCUCGCAGGCGGUCCGAUGCGUCGUGCGUGAAAGCCCCCGGCUCAACUGGGGGGGGUCGUGCGAUACGGUCGGACUUGAGGCCAGUAGGGGGAUGCGGAAUUCCGGGUGUAGUGGUGGAAUGCGUAGAGAUCGGGAGGAACAUCUGUGGCGAAGGCGACUGCCUGGACCAGCACUGACACUGAGGCACGAAAGCGUGGGUAGCAAACAGG